rnacentral:rRNA from 1 species
CCUACGGGUGGCUGCAGUGGGGAAUUUUGGACAAUGGGCGAAAGCCUGAUCCAGCAAUGCCGCGUGUGUGAAGAAGGCCUUCGGGUUGUAAAGCACUUUUGUCCGGAAAGAAAUCCGCCUGGCCAAUACCCGGGCGGGAUGACGGUACCGGAAGAAUAAGCACCGGCUAACUACGUGCCAGCAGCCGCGGUAAUACGUAGGGUGCGAGCGUUAAUCAGAGUUACUGGGCGUAAAGCGUGCAGACGCGGCUGAAAUCCCCGGGAUCAACCUGGGAACGGCAUUUGUGACUGCAGGGCUGGAGUGCGUCAGAGGGAGGUGGAAUUCCGCGUGUAGCAGUGAAAUGCGUAGAGAUGCGGAGGAACACCGAUGGCGAAGGCAGCCUCCUGGGAUGACACUGACGCUCAUGCACGAAAGCGUGGGGAGCAAACAGGAUUAGAUACCCCAGUAGUC